rnacentral:rRNA from 1 species
UGCAGUCGACGCUUUGUGGUUCAACUGAUUUGAAGAGCUUGCUCAGAUAUGACGAUGGACAUUGCAAAGAGUGGCGAACGGGUGAGUAACACGUGGGAAACCUACCUCUUAGCAGGGGAUAACAUUUGGAAACAGAUGCUAAUACCGUAUAACAAUGACAACCGCAUGGUUGUUAUUUGAAAGAUGGUUCUGCUAUCACUAAGAGAUGGUCCCGCGGUGCAUUAGCUAGUUGGUAAGGUAAUGGCUUACCAAGGCGAUGAUGCAUAGCCGAGUUGAGAGACUGAUCGGCCACAAUGGGACUGAGACACGGCCCAUACUCCUACGGGAGGCAGCAGUAGGGAAUCUUCCACAAUGGGCGAAAGCCUGAUGGAGCAACGCCGCGUGUGUGAUGAAGGGUUUCGGCUCGUAAAACACUGUUGUAAGAGAAGAAUGACAUUGAGAGUAACUGUUCAAUGUGUGACGGUAUCUUACCAGAAAGGAACGGCUAAAUACGUGCCAGCAGCCGCGGUAAUACGUAUGUUCCAAGCGUUAUCCGGAUUUAUUGGGCGUAAAGCGAGCGCAGACGGUUAUUUAAGUCUGAAGUGAAAGCCCUCAGCUCAACUGAGGAAUUGCUUUGGAAACUGGAUGACUUGAGUGCAGUAGAGGAAAGUGGAACUCCAUGUGUAGCGGUGAAAUGCGUAGAUAUAUGGAAGAACACCAGUGGCGAAGGCGGCUUUCUGGACUGUAACUGACGUUGAGGCUCGAAAGUGUGGGUAGCAAACAGGAUUAGAUACCCUGGUAGUCCACACCGUAAACGAUGAGUGCUAGGUGUUUGAGGGUUUCCGCCCUUAAGUGCCGCAGCUAACGCAUUAAGCACUCCGCCUGGGGAGUACGACCGCAAGGUUGAAACUCAAAGGAAUUGACGGGGACCCGCACAAGCGGUGGAGCAUGUGGUUUAAUUCGAAGCAACGCGAAGAACCUUACCAGGUCUUGACAUCCCUUGACAACUCCAGAGAUGGAGCGUUCCCUUCGGGGACAAGGUGACAGGUGGUGCAUGGUUGUCGUCAGCUCGUGUCGUGAGAUGUUGGGUUAAGUCCCGCAACGAGCGCAACCCUUAUUACUAGUUGCCAGCAUUCAGUUGGGCACUCUAGUGAGACUGCCGGUGACAAACCGGAGGAAGGUGGGGAUGACGUCAAAUCAUCAUGCCCCUUAUGACCUGGGCUACACACGUGCUACAAUGGCGUAUACAACGAGUUGCCAACCCGCGAGGGUGAGCUAAUCUCUUAAAGUACGUCUCAGUUCGGAUUGUAGGCUGCAACUCGCCUACAUGAAGUCGGAAUCGCUAGUAAUCGCGGAUCAGCACGCCGCGGUGAAUACGUUCCCGGGUCUUGUACACACCGCCCGUCACACCAUGAGAGUUUGUAACACCCAAAGCCGGUGGGGUAACCUUCGGGAGCCAGCC